rnacentral:rRNA from 1 species
GGGAGGGAUCCUGGUGGGUGCGAUCAUACCGGAUCCCAUCAGAGCUCCGCAGUUAAGCGCGCUUGGGCUAGAGUAGUACCGGGAUGGGUGACCUCCCGGGAAGUCCUAGUGUUGCACCGU